rnacentral:rRNA from 1 species
AUUGAACGCUGGCGGCAGGCCUAACACAUGUAAGUCGAGCGAGCGGCGGACGGGUGAGUAAUGUAUGGGGACUGCCCGAUAGAGGGGGAUAACUACUGGAAACGGUGGCUAAUACCGCAUACUAUCGGAUAACCCAUAUGGGAUUAGCUGGUGUGUGGGGUAAAGGCUCACCAGGGCGACGAUCUCUAGCUGGUCUGAGAGGAUGAUCAGCAACACUGGAACUGAGACACGGGCCAGACUCCUACGGAGGCAGCAGUGGGGAAUAUUGCACAAUGGGCGCAAGCCUGAUGCAGCCAUGCCGCGUGUAUGAAGAAGGCCUUAGGGUUGUAAAGUACUUUCAGCGGGGAGGCGUUACCCGCAGAAGAAGCACCGGCUAACUCCGUGCCAGCAGCCGCGGUAAUAC